AUGCGUCUCCGUCCCACCGCGGCUCCAUCUUCUCAACCUCGACGGCGGCUCCAUCCUCGGCGUUCUCGAUUACAACAAAUCAGAGAGCUCUGGUGGCUUUCUACGGUGGUGAAGAUGAGAAAUCCAGGUAAUAUCGCAAUUCCUUUUAUCUUCUCCUAUCUCAUCUGCGAAUCCGUGCUUUUUUUUUUGUAUUUUUCGCUGAUGUUGUUGAUUUGUGUCGUUCUUGUUUCGAAUUGUUGA